AGAAUGUCUUUUUUUUUUAAAUUUUAACAAAACAAACAUGGAGUGAAGCAUCCAUGUUUUACACACAUCACAAAAUUUUUAGGCCAACAGAUCGAAAUUCUUGUAAAAAACUUGUACUAAAUCUUCACCAGGAAUUAUUAAAAUACAUACAAAAUGCCCUCCAAAAAAACAGAGAAACAAACUGAAGGAAAGGAAAGUAAAACCCCGCUCCGCAAAACUUUAACCUGUGGUACAAGAACUCCUGGGCCAAAAUACAAGCUCAAAUCUCUGGUUGGUUAUGAUGGUCAUUGUCACUCUAAGUACCGAAAUCCGGCAUACACCAUCGGCAAAAAGCAAAAAGCUAAAGAAGUAUGUCUAGGCCCUGGACCAAAGUAUCUUUACAAUCUGCCCGGUAUCCCAGGAUACUCUUUUCCACGUUCAGUCUACCGACCCACGAAAGACUGUAGUCCAGGCCCGAAAUACACGCUACCUGGAUUCUCAUCUCCAGCUUUUUCAAUAGCCAAUAGGCCUAAAGCAAAAUGUGACAAGGCGUCUCCGGGACCCUACGAUCCCUAUCCUUUACCAAUAGGCCCUACGUUUAUACUUACCGGACAGGGAAAAGACCGCAAAUGUGAGUACAAUCCGCCAAUAAGGGACGUGGGGCCCGUAACACUUCUCAAGCCCAAUUCGCCGGCGUUCAGUAUCGUGCCGCGACAAACUACAAAAGAUAGAUGCAACAGUCCAGGACCUAAAUAUUUCCCAGGCCUGAUGAAAAAAUCACCGGAGUAUACUUUUGGUUUGAAACAUAGCGAAUGCUCGAUCAUUCCGAGAACGGAAUGCGACGAGCUCUGCUAACUUGUGGAAACUUCAGUAACGAAAACAAUUUUGAAAAAUGUAAAAAUCGUAAAAAGGAAAAACAAAUAAACUCGCAUUCAACUGAUAGUUUAUUCAUCGGCCUAACGAACUCCUGCCAGUAGAGCUGCGUCUCCUCGAUCGACAGUCUGCUCAACUUUAACCGUAUUUAACCUCUUGGCUGGUUCAACUCUGGAUUCUGCCGUUUUUGUUUGCCGAAUUGGAACUGCGGGAACAUCCGCAUCUUGCACGGCCGUUGUAACUGAUACACUGUCCUCUUCGGCGCGAUCGAUGACGGUUCCGCGGCUGCGACAGCAGAUCAGACGCAGCAAGAAAUAAAUUAUUUCGAGAGCGUUUAUUAUGCUUAUACCCAAGAAGAGAUUACAUAUGCCGCCGUAGUCACCUGCAGAGGUAGGAUGUUCAAAUGAAAUCAUUGAAUUAUAUUGAGUUUUUAAUCGAAUUCCGAAUUGGAAGACGGCUGAAUGAUUUAUCGUACUCACUCAUCAAUUCGUACCAGUAGAACAGUACGUCUUGCUUCGAUCUGAUCGUAUUCGGCUCGUCGAAUUAGACGUGCAGCAUGGAAUAGUUUCUAUUUGAAAUCAUGUUUCUGAAGUAAAAAAAACAAACAAACAAACAAACA